rnacentral:rRNA from 1 species
GUGGGGAAUAUUGGACAAUGGGCGCAAGCCUGAUCCAGCCAUGCCGCGUGAGUGAUGAAGGCCUUAGGGUUGUAAAGCUCUUUUGUCCGGGAAGAUAAUGACUGUACCGGAAGAAUAAGCCCCGGCUAACUUCGUGCCAGCAGCCGCGGUAAUACGAAGGGGGCUAGCGUUGUUCGGAAUCACUGGGCGUAAAGCGCACGUAGGCGGACCAUUAAGUCAGGGGUGAAAGCCUGGAGCUCAACUCCAGAACUGCCUUUGAUAGUGAUGGUCUCGAGUAUGGAAGAGGUUGGUGGAACUGCGAGUGUAGAGGUGAAAUUCGUAGAUAUUCGCAAGAACACCGGUGGCGAAGGCGGCCAACUGGUCCAUUACUGACGCUGAGGUGCGAAAGCGUGGGGAGCAAACAGGAUUAGAUACCCCUGUAGUCC